rnacentral:rRNA from 1 species
GUGACGGCGUGCUUUUUGUAGAACGAUCCAGCGAGUUAAUUUCAUGCGCCAGGUUAAGUCAAGUGACGGAGCCACAGUGAAAGCGAGCCUGAAUAGGGCGAUAAGUGUAUGGGAUUAGACCCGAAACCGGGUGACCUAACCAUGAGCAGGUUGAAGCUGCGGUAACACGCAGUGAAGGACCGAACCAGUUUGCGCAGUAAAGCAUUUGGAUGACUUGUGGUUAGCGGUGAAAUGCCAAUCGAACUCGGAGAUAGCUGGUUCUCCUCGAAAUAGCUUUAGGGCUAGCGUCAUGUAAUAUAGCCAACGGGGGUAGAGCUCUGUAAACGACUGGGGCGGGCAACUGUACCCACCGUUAACAAACUACGAAUACCGUUGGUGGUACCAUGGCAGUUAGAACAUCGGGGCUAAGCUCGGUGCUCAAAAGGGAAACAGCCCAGACCAUCAUCUAAGGUCCCUAAAUUAACACUAAGUGGGAAACAAGGUGAAAUUUCUUAAACAGCGAGGAUGUUGGCUUAGAAGCAGCCAUUCAUUUAAAGAGUGCGUAACAGCUCACUCGUCAAGAGAUUUUGCGUGGAAAAUGUAACGGGGCUAAAGUGUUAUACCGAAGAUAUGGAUUUCGUUAUUCCUACGGGUUUAACGAAGUGGUAGAGGAGCGUUCCUAUCGGCAGUGAAGCUCAAUCGUAAGGUUGGGUGGAGCGUUAGGAAGUGAGAAUGCUGGAAUGAGUAACCAUAAGAAAGGUGAGAAUCCUUUCGGCCGUAAGAGCGAGGUUUCCAGGGCUACUGUAAUAAUCCCUGGGUUAGUCGGGCCUAAGCCGAGGCGUAGCAGCGUAGGCGAUGGACAUCAGGUUAAUAUUCCUGAACCGGUUAUAAUUUGUAUACUGUGUACGGUAAAUUAGUCGAAGCGGAUUAUUGGUAUAUAUCCGUCCAACUUAGCGGGAACGCAAAAGGAGUGAAAGUUAAUCUACGGAUUAAUGAUUUUGAUGAAAGUACUGGCUAGAAAAGCAGAUAUACGCGUGGUUAUAGCCGCCCGUACCGCAAACCAACACAGGUGCUCGAGUCGAGUAGACUCAGGCUUACGAGAGACCCUUCGCUAAGGAACUCGGCAAAACAGCGACCGUAACUUCGGGAUAAGGUCUGCCUCCGCAUCAUUCGAUGCGAGUCGUGUUUCAAGCAAUUAGGUUAAGAUUAAUGGUAUAUAUGAGUAUCUUAAACUUCUUUACCGAGAUAGACAAGUCAAAUGGCUUAGCUUGGAACGCGGUAACCUCGUGUCAAACGAUGCGGAGGCCGCAGCAAAAGAGCCCACGGAACUGUUUACCAAAAACACAGGUCUCUGCGAACACGAAAGUGGAUGUAUAGGGGCUGACUCCUGCCCAGUGCUGGAAGGUUAAGGGGAGUGCUUUACGGUGCGAACUGAAGCCCCAGUGAACGGCGGCGGUAACUAUAACCGUCCUAAGGUAGCGAAAUUCCUUGUCAGGUAAGUUCUGACCCGCACGAAUGGAGUAAUCAUGUGGGCACUGUCUCGGCGAAGGACUCGGUGAAAGUGCAUUGGCGGUAAAGAUGCCGUCUGUCCAUGCCAGGACGAGAAGACCCCAUGGAGCUUUACUACAGCUUUACAUUGACACGGGUUACAUCAUGUGUAGCAUAGGUGGGAGGCUUUGAAGCAGAUACGCCAGUAUUUGUGGAGCCACAGGUGAAAUACCACCCUUGAUGUAGUCUUUGUCUUACCAUUGCCGUUAUCCGGUAAUGGGACCGUGUAUGGUGGGUAGUUUAACUGGGGCGGUUGCCUCCUAAAGAGUAGCGGAGGCGUUCAAAGGUUGGCUA